AGAGUUUGAUCCUGGCUCAGAACGAACGCUGGCGGCAGGCUUAACACAUGCAAGUCGAGCGCCUCGCAAGGGGAGCGGCAGACGGGUGAGUAACGCGUGGGAAUCUACCCAUCUCUACGGAACAACUCCGGGAAACUGGAGCUAAUACCGUAUACGUCCUUCGGGAGAAAGAUUUAUCGGAGAUGGAUGAGCCCGCGUUGGAUUAGCUAGUUGGUGGGGUAAUGGCCUACCAAGGCGACGAUCCAUAGCUGGUCUGAGAGGAUGAUCAGCCACACUGGGACUGAGACACGGCCCAGACUCCUACGGGAGGCAGCAGUGGGGAAUAUUGGACAAUGGGCGAAAGCCUGAUCCAGCCAUGCCGCGUGAGUGAUGAAGGCCCUAGGGUUGUAAAGCUCUUUCAACGGUGAAGAUAAUGACGGUAACCGUAGAAGAAGCCCCGGCUAACUUCGUGCCAGCCGCCGCGGUAAUUC
rnacentral:rRNA from 1 species